rnacentral:rRNA from 1 species
GACGUAGGGGGCAAGCGUUGUCCGGAAUCAUUGGGCGUAAAGGGUGCGUAGGCGGUUCCGCAAGUCCUGUGUGAAAUCUUCGGGCUCAACUCGAAGUCUGCACGGGAAACUGCGGGGCUUGAGUGUGGGAGAGGUGAGUGGAAUUCCCGGUGUAGCGGUGAAAUGCGUAGAUAUUCGGAAGAACACCAGUGGCGAAGGCGACUCACUGGACACAUAUUGACGCUGAGGUGCGAAAGCGUGGGGAGCAAACAGG